rnacentral:rRNA from 1 species
AUACGUAGGGGGCGAGCGUUGUCCGGAAUGAUUGGGCGUAAAGGGCGCGUAGGCGGCGCGGCAAGUCUGGAGUGAAAGUCCUGCUUUCAAGGUGGGAAUUGCUUUGGAUACUGCCGCGCUUGAGUGCAGGAGAGGUUAUCGGAAUUCCCGGUGUAGCGGUGAAAUGCGUAGAGAUCGGGAGGAACACCAGUGGCGAAGGCGGGUAACUGGACUGCAACUGACGCUGAGGCGCGAAAGUGUGGGGAGCAAACAGGACUAGAUACCCUGGUAGUCCACACUGUAAACGAUGAAUGCUAGGUGUAAGAGGUAUCGACCCCUUUUGUGCCGGAGUCAACACAAUAAGCAUUCCGCCUGGGGAGUACGGCCGCAAGGUUGAAACUCAAAGGAAUUGACGGGG